UACGUAGGGGGCAAGCGUUGUUCGGAAUGACUGGGCGUAAAGGGUGCGUAGGCGGUGUAGCAAGUUAGAAGUGAAAUACCUAGAGCUUAACUCAGGUGCUGCUUCUAAAACUGCUAUACUUGAGUGCAGUAGAGGAAAGUGGAAUUCCUAGUGUAGCGGUGGAAUGCGUAGAUAUUAGGAGGAACAUCAGUGGCGAAGGCGACUUUCUGGACUGUAACUGACGCUGAGGCACGAAAGCGUGGGGAGCAAACAGG
rnacentral:rRNA from 1 species